CCUACGGGUGGCUGCAGUGGGGAAUCUUGCGCAAUGGCCGAAAGGCUGACGCAGCGACGCCGCGUGGGGGAUGGAGGCCUUCGGGUUGUAAACCCCUGUUGCCCGGGACGAAUAGCCUGGUUCGCCAGGCCUGACGGUACCGGGUGAGGAAGCACCGGCUAACUCUGUGCCAGCAGCCGCGGUAAUACAGAGGGUGCGAGCGUUGUCCGGAAUCACUGGGCGUAAAGGGCGCGUAGGCGGCCCCUUAAGCGUGCCGUGAAAGCGCGGGGCUCAAC
rnacentral:rRNA from 1 species